GAUGAACGCUGGCGGCGUGCCUAAUACAUGCAAGUCGAGCGAACAGACGAGGAGCUUGCUCCUCUGACGUUAGCGGCGGACGGGUGAGUAACACGUGGAUAACCUACCUAUAAGACUGGGAUAACUUCGGGAAACCGGAGCUAAUACCGGAUAAUAUAUUGAGCCGCAUGGUUCAAUAGUGAAAGACGGUUUUGCUGUCACUUAUAGGUGGAUCCGCGCCGCAUUAGCUAGUUGGUAAGGUAACGGCUUACCAAGGCAACGAUGCGUAGCCGACCUGAGAGGGUGAUCGGCCACACUGGAACUGAGACACGGUCCAGACUCCUACGGGAGGCAGCAGUAGGGAAUCUUCCGCAAUGGGCGAAAGCCUGACGGAGCAACGCCGCGUGAGUGAUGAAGGUCUUCGGAUCGUAAAACUCUGUUAUUAGGGAAGAACAAAUGUGUAAGUAACUAUGCACGUCUUGACGGUACCUAAUCAGAAAGCCACGGCUAACUACGUG
rnacentral:rRNA from 1 species